GUGAAUCUGACCUUCGAUGCUGGGAAGCCGGUGCUGUACAUACAGAUGGGGUUUCUGCAUUUCUCUCCCUAAAACAUAACAAUCAGAACAAUUGUGGCAAAGAAGGGAUACGGGGCCAGUAUGUUAUGUAAUGUUUGUGGUCCUGCUGUUCUGAAUCCAUUCAUAUAGGAAGAAACUAAGAAGUGACACUGGAUACAUUUUACCUAAUGAACAGUACAAAGUGUUUUCCUCCUUCCAAAUGUCAGGUCUGCCCCCACCCCAAAAUAA